UAGGGAAUCUUCCGCAAUGGACGCAAGUCUGACGGAGCAACGCCGCGUGAGUGAAGAAGGAUUUCGGUUCGUAAAACUCUGUUGUUAGAGAAGAACAGCGCAUAGAGUAACUGUUAUGCGUGUGACGGUAUCUAACCAGAAAGGGACGGCUAACUACGUGCCAGCAGCCGCGGUAAUACGUAGGUCCCGAGCGUUGUCCGGAUUUAUUGGGCGUAAAGCGAGCGCAGGCGGUUAGAAAAGUCUGAAGUGAAAGGCAGUGGCUCAACCAUUGUAGGCUUUGGAAACUGUUUAACUUGAGUGCAGAAGGGGAGAGUGGACUUCCAUGUGUAGCGGUGAAAUGCGUAGAUAUAUGGAGGAACACCGGUGGCGAAAGCGGCUCUCUGGUCUGUAACUGACGCUGAGGCUCGAAAGCGUGGGGAGCGAACAGG
rnacentral:rRNA from 1 species